GGGUUGUGAGGUUAAGCGACUAAGCGUACACGGUGGAUGCCCUGGCAGUCAGAGGCGAUGAAGGACGUGCUAAUCUGCGAUAAGCGUCGGUAAGGUGAUAUGAACCGUUAUAACCGGCGAUUUCCGAAUGGGGAAACCCAGUGUGUUUCGACACACUAUCAUUAACUGAAUCCAUAGGUUAAUGAGGCGAACCGGGGGAACUGAAACAUCUAAGUACCCCGAGGAAAAGAAAUCAACCGAGAUUCCCCCAGUAGCGGCGAGCGAACGGGGAGCAGCCCAGAGCCUGAAUCAGUGUGUGUGUUAGUGGAAGCGUCUGGAAAGGCGCGCGAUACAGGGUGACAGCCCCGUACACAAAAAUGCACAUAUUGUGAGCUCGAUGAGUAGGGCGGGACACGUGGUAUCCUGUCUGAAUAUGGGGGGACCAUCCUCCAAGGCUAAAUACUCCUGACUGACCGAUAGUGAACCAGUACCGUGAGGGAAAGGCGAAAAGAACCCCGGCGAGGGGAGUGAAAAAGAACCUGAAACCGUGUACGUACAAGCAGUGGGAGCACGCUUAGGCGUGUGACUGCGUACCUUUUGUAUAAUGGGUCAGCGACUUAUAUUCUGUAGCAAGGUUAACCGAAUAGGGGAGCCGAAGGGAAACCGAGUCUUAACUGGGCGUUAAGUUGCAGGGUAUAGACCCGAAACCCGGUGAUCUAGCCAUGGGCAGGUUGAAGGUUGGGUAACACUAACUGGAGGACCGAACCGACUAAUGUUGAAAAAUUAGCGGAUGACUUGUGGCUGGGGGUGAAAGGCCAAUCAAACCGGGAGAUAGCUGGUUCUCCCCGAAAGCUAUUUAGGUAGCGCCUCGUGAAUUCAUCUCCGGGGGUAGAGCACUGUUUCGGCAAGGGGGUCAUCCCGACUUACCAACCCGAUGCAAACUGCGAAUACCGGAGAAUGUUAUCACGGGAGACACACGGCGGGUGCUAACGUCCGUCGUGAAGAGGGAAACAACCCAGACCGCCAGCUAAGGUCCCAAAGUCAUGGUUAAGUGGGAAACGAUGUGGGAAGGCCCAGACAGCCAGGAUGUUGGCUUAGAAGCAGCCAUCAUUUAAAGAAAGCGUAAUAGCUCACUGGUCGAGUCGGCCUGCGCGGAAGAUGUAACGGGGCUAAACCAUGCACCGAAGCUGCGGCAGCGACGCUGAUGCGUUGUUGGGUAGGGGAGCGUUCUGUAAGCCUGCGAAGGUGUGCUGUGAGGCAUGCUGGAGGUAUCAGAAGUGCGAAUGCUGACAUAAGUAACGAUAAAGCGGGUGAAAAGCCCGCUCGCCGGAAGACCAAGGGUUCCUGUCCAACGUUAAUCGGGGCAGGGUGAGUCGACCCCUAAGGCGAGGCCGAAAGGCGUAGUCGAUGGGAAACAGGUUAAUAUUCCUGUACUUGGUGUUACUGCGAAGGGGGGACGGAGAAGGCUAUGUUGGCCGGGCGACGGUUGUCCCGGUUUAAGCGUGUAGGCUGGUUUUCCAGGCAAAUCCGGAAAAUCAAGGCUGAGGCGUGAUGACGAGGCACUACGGUGCUGAAGCAACAAAUGCCCUGCUUCCAGGAAAAGCCUCUAAGCAUCAGGUAACAUCAAAUCGUACCCCAAACCGACACAGGUGGUCAGGUAGAGAAUACCAAGGCGCUUGAGAGAACUCGGGUGAAGGAACUAGGCAAAAUGGUGCCGUAACUUCGGGAGAAGGCACGCUGAUAUGUAGGUGAAGUCCCUUGCGGAUGGAGCUGAAAUCAGUCGAAGAUACCAGCUGGCUGCAACUGUUUAUUAAAAACACAGCACUGUGCAAACACGAAAGUGGACGUAUACGGUGUGACGCCUGCCCGGUGCCGGAAGGUUAAUUGAUGGGGUCAGCGCAAGCGAAGCUCUUGAUCGAAGCCCCGGUAAACGGCGGCCGUAACUAUAACGGUCCUAAGGUAGCGAAAUUCCUUGUCGGGUAAGUUCCGACCUGCACGAAUGGCGUAAUGAUGGCCAGGCUGUCUCCACCCGAGACUCAGUGAAAUUGAACUCGCUGUGAAGAUGCAGUGUACCCGCGGCAAGACGGAAAGACCCCGUGAACCUUUACUAUAGCUUGACACUGAACAUUGAGCCUUGAUGUGUAGGAUAGGUGGGAGGCUUUGAAGUGUGGACGCCAGUCUGCAUGGAGCCGACCUUGAAAUACCACCCUUUAAUGUUUGAUGUUCUAACGUUGACCCGUAAUCCGGGUUGCGGACAGUGUCUGGUGGGUAGUUUGACUGGGGCGGUCUCCUCCUAAAGAGUAACGGAGGAGCACGAAGGUUGGCUAAUCCUGGUCGGACAUCAGGAGGUUAGUGCAAUGGCAUAAGCCAGCUUGACUGCGAGCGUGACGGCGCGAGCAGGUGCGAAAGCAGGUCAUAGUGAUCCGGUGGUUCUGAAUGGAAGGGCCAUCGCUCAACGGAUAAAAGGUACUCCGGGGAUAACAGGCUGAUACCGCCCAAGAGUUCAUAUCGACGGCGGUGUUUGGCACCUCGAUGUCGGCUCAUCACAUCCUGGGGCUGAAGUAGGUCCCAAGGGUAUGGCUGUUCGCCAUUUAAAGUGGUACGCGAGCUGGGUUUAGAACGUCGUGAGACAGUUCGGUCCCUAUCUGCCGUGGGCGCUGGAGAACUGAGGGGGGCUGCUCCUAGUACGAGAGGACCGGAGUGGACGCAUCACUGGUGUUCGGGUUGUCAUGCCAAUGGCACUGCCCGGUAGCUAAAUGCGGAAGAGAUAAGUGCUGAAAGCAUCUAAGCACGAAACUUGCCCCGAGAUGAGUUCUCCCUGACCCUUUAAGGGUCCUGAAGGAACGUUGAAGACGACGACGUUGAUAGGCCGGGUGUGUAAGCGCAGCGAUGCGUUGAGCUAACCGGUACUAAUGAACCGUGAGGCUUAACCUUACAACGCCGAAG
rnacentral:rRNA from 1 species